rnacentral:rRNA from 1 species
AAUCAACGCUGGCGGCGUGCCUCAGACAUGCAAGUCGAACGCGAAAGUUCCCUUCGGGGAGCUAGUAGAGUGGCGCACGGGUGAGUAACACGUAGGUAAUCUACCUUUGGAUUGGGAAUAACACCGAGAAAUCGGUGCUAAUACCGAAUAAUGCAGCGGCACCUAAUGGUGACAGUUGUUAAAGCGGGGGAUCGAAAGACCUCGCGUCUGAAGAGGAGCCUGCGGCAGAUUAGCUAGUUGGUAAGGUAACGGCUUACCAAGGCGAUGAUCUGUAGCCGGCCUGAGAGGGCGGUCGGCCACACUGACACUGACAUACGGGUCAGACUCCUACGGGAGGCAGCAGUCGGGAAUUUUGGGCAAUGGGCGAAAGCCUGACCCAGCAACGCCGCGUGAAGGAUGAAAUCCCUCGGGAUGUAAACUUCGCAAGAACGGGAAGAAUAAGCCGGUGUUAACACCACCGGUGAUGACGGUACUGUUUGUAAGCUCCGGCUAACUCCGUGCCAGCAGCCGCGGUAAUACGGGGGGAGCAAGCGUUGUUCGGAUU